GACGAACGCUGGCGGCGUGCUUAACACAUGCAAGUCGAACGGAAAGGCCCUGCUUUUGUGGGGUGCUCGAGUGGCGAACGGGUGAGUAACACGUGAGUAACCUGCCCUUGACUUUGGGAUAACUUCAGGAAACUGGGGCUAAUACCGGAUAGGAGCUCCUGCUGCAUGGUGGGGGGUGGAAAGUUUCGGCGGUUGGGGAUGGACUCGCGGCUUAUCAGCUUGUUGGUGGGGUAGUGGCUUACCAAGGCUUUGACGGGUAGCCGGCCUGAGAGGGUGACCGGCCACAUUGGGACUGAGAUACGGCCCAGACUCCUACGGGAGGCAGCAGUGGGGAAUAUUGCACAAUGGGCGGAAGCCUGAUGCAGCAACGCCGCGUGCGGGAUGACGGCCUUCGGGUUGUAAACCGCUUUCGCCUGUGACGAAGCGUGAGUGACGGUAAUGUGUAAAGAAGCACCGGCUAACUACGUG
rnacentral:rRNA from 1 species